rnacentral:rRNA from 1 species
UACAGGGGGUGCAAACGUUGCUCGGAAUUAUUGGGCGUAAAGCGCGCGUAGGCGGCUACUUAAGUCGGAUGUGAAAGCCCUUGGCUCAACUGAGGAAGUGCACCCGAAACUGAGUGGCUUGAGUACUAAAGAGGGUCGCGGAAUUCCCGGUGUAGAGGUGAAAUUCGUAGAUAUCUGGAGGAACACCGGUGGCGAAGGCGGCAUCCUGGACCGACACUGACGCUGAGGAGCGAAAGCCAGGGGAGCAAACGGG